rnacentral:snRNA from 1 species
CUCCGAAUGUUAAAUGGGGCGAA